GAAAUAUGAUGAUGCCAGAGAAUGGCUUUGCUUUUUUGACUGAUGUCCUAUGAUGUCACAUUUUCCAUGGCUGUCUGAUUAG